rnacentral:RNase_P_RNA from 1 species
AGUCCGGGCACCACAGGGCUGGUUGCUGGGUAAUGCCCAGUGCGCGUGAGCGUGAGGAUAGUGCCACAGAAAUGUAGACCGCCAGAAUUUUCUGGUAAGGGUGCAACGGUGCGGUAAGAGCGUCACCAGCAAAGUCGUGAGGCUUUGGCUUGGUAAACCCCGCUGAAGGUGCAAGGCAAAGGUAUAGCUUGAGGUGAAGGUGGCCCGCUACCUCAGGUUGCCGAAGCCGCUAGAGGGCUAAGGUAACUUAGCUCCCAGAGAGAUGACAGUCUCAAACAGAACCCGGCUUAUGCGUUACUUUUUCGU